rnacentral:rRNA from 1 species
UGAGGAACAUGACCUUCGGCGGGGGAUAGCCGGCCCAACGGCCGGGUAAUACCGCGUACGACCACAUGGGGACAUCCCUGAGUGGUGAAAGCAGCAAUGCGCCGAUGGAGUGCCUCGCGGCCUAUCAGCUAGUUGGUGAGGUAACGGCUCACCAAGGCGACGACGGGUAGCUGGUCUGAGAGGAUGGCCAGCCANAUUGGGACUGAGACACGGCCCAGACUNUACGGGAG